GACGAACGCUGGCGGCGUGCCUAAUACAUGCAAGUCGAGCGAAGUUUUUCUGGUGCUUGCACUAGAAAAACUUAGCGGCGAACGGGUGAGUAACACGUAAAGAACCUGCCUCAUAGACUGGGACAACUAUUGGAAACGAUAGCUAAUACCGGAUAACAGCAUUAACUGCAUGGUUGAUGUUUAAAAGUUGGUUUUGCUAACACUAUGAGAUGGCUUUGCGGUGCAUUAGCUAGUUGGUGGGGUAAAGGCCUACCAAGGCGACGAUGCAUAGCCGACCUGAGAGGGUGAUCGGCCACACUGGGACUGAGACACGGCCCAGACUCCUACGGGAGGCAGCAGUAGGGAAUCUUCCGCAAUGGGCGAAAGCCUGACGGAGCAACGCCGCGUGAGUGAAGAAGGAUUUCGGUUCGUAAAGCUCUGUUGUUAGGGAAGAAUGAUUGUGUAGUAACUAUACACAGUAGAGACGGUACCUAACCAGAAAGCCACGGCUAACUACGUGCCAGCAGCCGCGGUAAUACGUAGGGUGCAAGCGUUACUCGGAAUCACUGGGCGUAAAGGACGCGUAGGCGGAUUAUCAAGUCUCUUGUGAAAUCUAGUGGCUUAACCACUAAACUGCUUGGGAAACUGAUAAUCUAGAGUAAGGGAGAGGCAGAUGGAAUUCUUGGUGUAGGGGUAAAAUCCGUAGAGAUCAAGAAGAAUACUUAUUGCGAAGGCGAUCUGCUAGAACUUAACUGACGCUAUGCGUGAAAGCGUGGGGAGCAAACAGG
rnacentral:rRNA from 1 species